GCUUCCUUCUUCUAGGUGGUUAGGAAGCGGGUCUCAUAUUCACUAAUAUAUGAGCUGCAAUCGCAGUGUUAUCCCGAAACCUGAGUUCGAGUCUCAGAGGAGGCA